UAUUGAUUGGAAUAUUCAAAGC
rnacentral:piRNA from 1 species